rnacentral:rRNA from 1 species
CAGUCGCCGCGGUAAUACAGAGGGUGCGAGCGUUAAUCGGAUUUACUGGGCGUAAAGCGUGCGUAGGCGGCUAAUUGAGUCGGAUGUGAAAUCCCCGAGCUUAACUUGGGAAUUGCAUUCGAUACUGGUUAGCUAGAGUGUGGGAGAGGAUGGUAGAAUCCCAGGUGUAGCGGUGAAAUGCGUAGAGAUCUGGAGGAAUACCGAUGGCGAAGGCAGCCAUCUGGCCUAACACUGACGCUGAGGUACGAAAGCAUGGGUAGCAAACAGGAUUAGAUACCCCAGUAGUCCCUGUCUCUUAUAC